rnacentral:rRNA from 1 species
CUACGUGCCAGCAGCCGCGGUAAUACGUAGGUGGCAAGCGUUGUCCGGAAUUAUUGGGCGUAAAGCGAGCGCAGGCGGUUAGAUAAGUCUGAAGUUAAAGGCUGUGGCUUAACCAUAGUACGCUUUGGAAACUGUUUAACUUGAGUGCAAGAGGGGAGAGUGGAAUUCCAUGUGUAGCGGUGAAAUGCGUAGAUAUAUGGAGGAACACCGGUGGCGAAAGCGGCUCUCUGGCUUGUAACUGACGCUGAGGCUCGAAAGCGUGGGGAGCAAACAGGAUUAGAUACCCUGGUAGUCCACGCCGUAAACGAUGAGUGCUAGGUGUUAGACCCUUUCCGGGGUUUAGUGCCGUAGCUAACGCAUUAAGCACUCCGCCUGGGGAGUACGACCGCAAGGUUGAAACUCAAAGGAAUUGACGGGGGCCCGCACAAGCGGUGGAACAUGUGGUUUAAUUCGAAGCAACGCGAAGAACCUUACCAGGUCUUGACAUCCCUCUGACCGCUCUAGAGAUAGAGUUUUC